rnacentral:rRNA from 2 species
CCAACAGGGAUUGCCCUAGUAACGGCGAGUGAAGCGGCAACAGCUCAAAUUUGAAAUCUGGCUCUUUUAGAGUCCGAGUUGUAAUUUGCAGAGGGCGCUUUGGCUUUGGCAGCGGUCCAAGUUCCUUGGAACAGGACGUCACAGAGGGUGAGAAUCCCGUACGUGGUCGCUGGCUAUUGCCGUGUAAAGCCCCUUCGACGAGUCGAGUUGUUUGGGAAUGCAGCUCUAAAUGGGAGGUACAUUUCUUCUAAAGCUAAAUAUUGGCCAGAGACCGAUAGCGCACAAGUAGAGUGAUCGAAAGAUGAAAAGCACUUUGGAAAGAGAGUCAAACAGCACGUGAAAUUGUUGAAAGGGAAGCGCUUGCAGCCAGACUUGCUUGCAGUUGCUCAUCCGGGCUUUUGCCCGGUGCACUCUUCUGCAGGCAGGCCAGCAUCAGUUUGGGCGGUAGGAUAAAGGUCUCUGUCACGUACCUCUCUUCGGGGAGGCCUUAUAGGGGAGACGACAUACUACCAGCCUGGACUGAGGUCCGCGCAUCUGCUAGGAUGCUGGCGUAAUGGCUGUAAGCGGCCC